ACAAGAUGCCCGGUCAUGGCUGUCAUUUUUAUCGGACGUGUCUCCCGCGGCUCCUCGUCGCAGAACUAAUUACGGAUAAUGUGCACUUUACCUCCCGCCUUUAACGCAGAAGCCUACAGUUGGCCCGUGCUGUUGGUUGUAUUCUCAUGCAACGAGAGUAAAAAGCAACUCUGUGCACAUGCGUGACCAGAGUUGCUGUCCAGUGCUGAAAUGGAAGAAGGGCGCAUUGGAGGGAAAUGGAGUGCACGAGCAGCUCGUCCUGAUCGCUGUUCAGGUGCUGAACUGGCUGGCUGUUGUUGCCAGUCUCCAAUCACACCACCCAGUAGAGGGACUUAUGCAUCCG
rnacentral:lncRNA from 1 species